ACAUAGCCUAAAAGAGGUUAGU
rnacentral:miRNA from 12 species